GACCGCGUAGCCUCAGUUGGCAGAGCAUUGGGCCAGCACCCCAAAGGUUGUAGGUUCGAUUCCCACCAUGGUCA
rnacentral:tRNA from 1 species